ensembl:lncRNA
CUGGGUCCUGUGAUUGAUUUCAGGCUGCUGUAACAGAUACAAUGUGUCACUUUAAAAGACCAGCGGCUACACAUUGAUUACGCGCAGCAAGGCCAAUGACCUGUGUUGCAUGCUGGGAAAUCCAGCUGUGCCUCUACUGACCGUAUUCAUCCAUCUCAUGCUGCCCCACCCCCGUCACCACUUCCUCUGCUACACACACACCCCACCCCUGUCCCCAGCAGUAUCCUUGGAGGAUGGCAAAAGUGUGUGUGUGAGCGGAAAAAAAAAGAAAUCUAGACGUGGGUGUGAUGUCAUUUUGACUCCCCUCUCCUCCAGUAGCAGGCUACGCAUAGAGAGCUGGAGAGAGAAGAGGGGGAGAUGAGACUGGAAGGAGGCGCUUAGGAGGUUGCAGGGGAAGACAUGUAAAAAGACAGGAACAGGGCCUAAGAAAAACCUCUGGAUGUCACCUAAGAGGCACUCCCUCCACUGUCAUUCCUGCUGGAGGCUCCACCAACACGUCUGGACUGCACCUGGGCGUCCAACGCACGGAGAGGGAGAGAGUCCAGGGGCACCUACAGUUAAGCUUUCCGUCGGAUGAUUCACUCUCAUCAUUCCCGCCUUACUACUACUGUAACAGUGAGGGUGUGGAUGCAAUGGAUACAGAGUGACGCUCCUUCAUCCAGUCAACCAGCUGUGAAACCUCGGGGCUAAACGCCUUGACAACAGGAGUGCCCUGGACAACACACCAGUCAGACAAACACAGCCAUACUGUCACCUUUCCCCAGUCACACAGUCUCAGACUUUCACCAGUGUAUGUGUAAUGUCUGUCUGUGUGUGUGUGUGUGUGUGUGUGUGUGUCAGAUAAUCUGGGUGCUCACAGCUUAGUGUCUAAGGUGAAUCAGUGGGGGUGUCACAGUCGUGAAGCACCAGAGAUUCCAGAUGUCUGUUAGAGCUUAUUUACUGCUAUCAGAAAACAGACCAGAAGCUGUUUUGUGGUUUUGAAGGGACAGGGAAGAGUGUGUGUGAGAGUGUAUCUAAUGUGUGAGUAAGACAGCAUUUAAAAAAAGCUCAGUGUGUGUGAGUGUGUAUGUCAGUCUGUCUGUCUGUCUGUCUCUGUGUGUGUGAUAGACACGAUGGGUUGUGCCAUCUGCACUCAGCUCGUGGACAUGUGUAGGGGGUUCACAUGGAAGAGGGGUCGGAGCGCCAGGCCAGCGGUCGCGGAGGUGCCCCCCCUGGAGUACCACCGGCUCUCCGGCCUCCACUACACCUCCUCCUUCUCCGACGCAGAGGACUGCUGCGAUGACCUCAGCUCCAUCAGCACCUCCUCGUCCUCUGAUUACCUAGAAACUGAAUACUUGGCUGAUUUGGAGGAAUGACACACAGGCUUGUGACACUUGUCAUUUGCAUCAUAUGCACUUCACUUGAAUAAAUGAUUAAGAUGAAAACUAAGAACUGGGUUGGGUUCAUUUCUGGUGUAUGUGCGACUAC